UACAGAGGUCUCAAGCGUUGUUCGGAUUCAUUGGGCGUAAAGGGUGCGUAGGUGGGUAGGUAAGUCAGUGGUGAAAUCUUCGAGCUUAACUCGGAAACUGCCAUUGAUACUAUUUAUCUUGAAUACUCUGGAGGUAAGCGGAAUAUGUCAUGUAGCGGUGAAAUGCUUAGAUAUGACAUAGAACACCAAUUGCGAAAGGCAGCUUACUACAUAGUUAUUGACACUGAGGCACGAAAGCGUGGGGAUCAAACAGG
rnacentral:rRNA from 1 species